rnacentral:lncRNA from 1 species
GGCGGCUAGGAAGGCCCGCGGGGAAUCCGGGGCGGUCCCGCCAGUCGGGCCUGGAUCCGCGUUGGCCCGCGGGCUCGGGUGAGCCCGCUCAAACGCCCCGGGAGCCACCGCCGCCUCCUCAGCGCCAGUCCUCAGCGCUGAAAAGACUCUUCCCUUCGUCGCCCAACCGCCCCUUCAGUAGGGACCGCCCCUCUUUUUGACACUGUCCAAUCCACAGUGGGCGCUUUCGUCCUCCCCGCCCUCGCCACCAAAGGAUCGUUCUCCAGGGCCAACAGUCGUACAAAAAGCCGGUGUAGGUAUGUCCGGCCAGAGGUAGACGGCCCGCGGGGCCAAUCGGAGUGCAGGCAGGGCAGCAGGCCCCGCCUCCGAAACAACAGAAAGCACUUGACAGGCUUGCUCUCCAAUGAGAAGCCCCGGAAAAGUGUCGCGCGGAGGCGGAGCCACGCGGUACAGCCACCUCUGCGCCUGCUCAAAGGCCCUGGACACUUGGAGUCUAGACACCCGAGUUCAGAGCCAGCCUCCAAGAGUAUCUUACAUCCCAGCGUCUCCUGGAAGGCCGUAUGAUCCAGCACUGGGGAGAGGAGGGAAAUCCCCAGGACUCGAAUGCCCAUCCCACCCUUGGUGUAGUGAGGACUCAUCCUGCUGGAAAGGCCCCUGAAGAACUUCAAGUUCCAAUAUCCCGUUUUUACAGAUGGGGAAACUGACAUGAAGAGGAGUCCAAAGUGACACAGUCAGGCCAGAAAUGUUGCUUCUGAAGUCCUGAGUCCACCUCCUAGCACUGCCAAGCAGUCCACCUGGAGGUGAUGAGAACUUCCAGGCUUUGGUAAUGGACAACUCUGUAUCCCUGGAGCCUUCAUUCCUUUUGGCAUUACAGAACCACAAGAAGUCAUCUAGAAUCAUUGAGAUUCUCAACUCCAUUGGGCAAACUGGAACCAGCAAAAUCUCAGAUAUCUAGAAUUGCCACUGCUUCCUUGACUCUGUGAUCAGUCUACAGCCACAGAAUCCU